rnacentral:rRNA from 1 species
GACGAACGCUGGCGGCGUGCUUAACACAUGCAAGUCGAACGGAAAGGCCCUGCUUUUGUGGGGUGCUCGAGUGGCGAACGGGUGAGUAACACGUGAGUAACCUGCCCUUGAUUUUGGGAUAACUUCAGGAAACUGGGGCUCAUACCGGAUAGGACCUCCUGCUGCAUGUUGGGGUUUGGAAAGUUUCGCCGGUUUGGGAUGGACUCGCGGCUUAUCAGCUUGUUGGUGGGGUAGUGGCGUACCAAGGCUUUGACGGGUAGCCGGCCUGCGAGGGUGACCGGCCACAGUGUGAUUGGGAUACGGCCCGGACUGCAACGGGAGGCAGCAGGGGGGAACAUUGCGAAAAGGGCGGAAGCAGUAUGCAGCAACGCCGGGUGCGGGAUGACGGCCUUCGGGUUGUAAACCGCUUGCGCCUGUGACGAAGCGUGAGUGACGGUAAUGGGUAAAGAAGCACCGGCUAACUACGUG